rnacentral:rRNA from 1 species
AUCACAUCCUGGGGCUGAAGCAGGUCCCAAGGGUAUGGCUGUUCGCCAUUUAAAGUGGUACGCGAGCUGGGUUUAGAACGUCGUGAGACAGUUCGGUCCCUAUCUGCCGUGGGCGUUGGAAAUUUGAGAAGAGUUGCUCCUAGUACGAGAGGACCGGAGUGAACGUAUCUCUGGUGUUCCGGUUGUCACGCCAGUGGCAUUGCCGGGUAGCUAUGUACGGACGGGAUAACCGCUGAAAGCAUAUAAGCGGGAAGCCUCCCUCAAGAUGAGAUCUCACCUCUGGGGCAACCCAGACUGAAGAGCCGUUGAAGACGACAACGUUGAUAGGCUGGAUGUGGAAGUGCAGUAAUGUAUGGAGCUAACCAGUACUAAUGACUCGUGAGACUUAACCAUGUAACCCUAAA